GGGUCUUAAGCUUUAUUACGAGACAGUUGGCUGUAGCAGAUGAUGUUGCAUUCAUUGGAAACUAAACAAAUAAAGCCUACACUUAUACAGAGAGAAGAGGAAGAAGCUUGAAAGAGCUAGAGAGAUUCUUAUUUUUCAUCUUUUUAUGUUUUUUUUCUUGCCCUUUCGUUAAAUUUUGUUUUGGGAUUUAAUUUUGGUUGAGUUGAAGAAAAGAGAUGAUGGGGUAUUGGAAAUCCAAGGUUCUUCCAAAGAUCAAGAAGGUUUUUGAGAAGGAAAGCACCAAAAAAGCUGCUGCAGCUGAAGCUUGCAAGUCCUUUGAUGGCUCCAUGGAAGAAAUCAACAAGGAGUUUGAAGAGAAGAAGACUGAACUCCAACCUAAAGUGCUUGAAAUCUAUGAAGCUUCAUCAGCUGAAAUUAAGGUAUAUAAGCUAUAUGUGUACAUAUUGAAAUGGAAAAUAUUAUUCCUUUUAUAUAUCAUUUCAUUUUGAUUUGAACUUGAAUUACCAGGCUCUAGUUAAGGAGCCUAAAGAAGCUGGAUUAAAGAAGUACUCAGCUUUAGUUCAAAAGUUCCUUGAAGAGCUUGCCAAAAUAGGUAACUAUUAUAAUUCAUUCAGCAGAGAACCGAGAUGUCAGGAUUUGAAUUCUUGAUUUCUUGAGCUAUAUAUAAAUUUGUAUAUAAUAUUAAUUUAUUUUGGUAUGUAUAUAUAUAUGUGCAGAGUUUCCAGGAUCAAAGACAGUGACAGAAGCAGCUUCAAAGUAUGGAGCAGCCUAUGUCUCAGGUCCAGUUUUCUUUAUAUUUGAAAAGGUGACGACUUUUGUUGUGGUAGAAGAGAAGGCGGUGGAGCCACCACCAGCAGGAGGAGAGGAAACAAGCAGCAGAGAGAAGGAAAUAGUGGUGGAGGAAGAGAAGAAAGAGGAAGUAGUAGUGGAGGCUGCGAAGAGUACGACGGAACCCGUGGUGGCUGAAGCAGAAACAGCAGUUCAGCCACCAGCUGCAGCUGAGCCUGCUUCCAAAGUGGAGGAAGCGGAAGCUGCUGCUGAGCCACCAAAGCCAUGACCAACAAGGAGGAUAUCAAUUUCAUCAUCAAGU
rnacentral:misc_RNA from 1 species